UACGUAGGGUGCGAGCGUUGUCCGGAAUUACUGGGCGUAAAGAGCUCGUAGGUGGUUUGUCGCGUUGUCCGUGAAAACUCACAACUCAAUUGUGGGCGUGCGGGCGAUACGGGCAGACUGGAGUACUGCAGGGGAGACUGGAAUUCCUGGUGUAGCGGUGGAAUGCGCAGGUAUCAGGAGGAACACCGGUGGCGAAGGCGGGUCUCUGGGCAGUAACUGACGCUGAGGAGCGAAAGCGUGGGGAGCGAACAGG
rnacentral:rRNA from 1 species